rnacentral:lncRNA from 12 species
AAGGGACUUAAGAGAAGACUAAAUAAAUGAGAUUAUAAUGUAGCAUAAUCAUUUAUUAAAAUAAAACCUGAACAUUGUUUCUGCAGUUCGUUUAAUAAUUUCUCAAACCAGGAGUUCUCAAACUUUUUGGGGCCAGGGCCAUUUCCAAGGACCCCCUCAUAAUUAUAACCAUGAUUAAUAUGCGUACUGCAGUUUAUACUCUCAGAUGCCAUUAGAACGUCUGGUUUAAUUUUUCUGGAUUCCUUGUUAAUUGUUUUGAUUGUUCUGGACUCUGUUUCAACAGUUAAAUUAAAUUGUAGUAAUCAAAAAGCACACCUAAUUAAUUUAAAUAAACUUAUAACUUUGUGUGUUAACUUAUAAAAUGUAACAACAAUUAUUUUUUUAGUUGUACAAUAAUAAGGCCCUAUAAAAUGCUAUUUAUUUAUUUAUUUAUUUUUCAUUUUCCAAAUCUUACAGACCUAAAAUUAUUUCACGGACAUUUGAGAACCCCUGCCUUAAACUACUAAACUGGAGAAAAAUUUGCAGCAGUCUUCCUUUGUUCUGCUGAAACGGUUCUGCUAAAAUACGUAAAAAGAAAAACUACAAUGACUUGGUCCCUCGGCAUGCUGGGUAAUCUCCCACAGCUCUCUGUACACACCAAAAUCACAAACCAAAACAGAUGAGAAAUCACACAGUGGGUCGGUGUGGGCGCAGCGUUCACGUCUCUGUGGUCUCGUGAACUUCUACAGCCUUUGUUUAACCCACCAUCUCUCACAGAGGCUAAAUAUUCAGUGUUUUUGUUAGCCUAUUUGACCAUUCAUAUUCAUAAGCACAGAGAGGAGUUUAGAGCCACUGAUGCUCGUGUGAAGGUCUGGAGCAUUCAGAUGAUCUCCCAGAAGAACACUGUAUCGAUCAGAGGCUACAUUUCCUGCACUGGGAGACUUAAUCAGGUCAGCAAGUGACAUCGAUGGGUACCUUCUGC